UACGUAGGGGGCAAGCGUUGUCCGGAAUCAUUGGGCGUAAAGCGCGCGUAGGCGGCCCGAUAAGUCCGCUGUAAAAGUCAACGGCUCACUGUUGUAACGCAGGUCGGAUACUGUCGGGCUAGAGUCCGGAAGAGGCAAGUGGAAUUCUUGGUGUAGCGGUGGAAUGCGCAGAUAUCAGGAGGAACACCAAUAGCGAAGGCAGCUUGCUGGGACGGUACUGACGCUAAGGCGCGAAAGCGUGGGGAGCGAUCCGG
rnacentral:rRNA from 1 species